GACGGAGGAUGCAAGUGUUAUCCGGAAUCACUGGGUUUAAAGGGUGCGUAGGCGGUUUAAUAAGUCAGAGGUGAAAGGUUGUCGCUUAACGAUAAAAUUGCCUUUGAUACUGUUAGACUAGAAUUAGGAUGAGGUAGGCGGAAUGCGACAUGUAGCGGUGAAAUGCAUAGAUAUGUCGUAGAACACCAAUUGCGAAGGCAGCUUACUAGCCCUAUAUUGACGCUGAGGCACGAAAGCGUGGGGAGCGAACAGG
rnacentral:rRNA from 1 species